rnacentral:rRNA from 1 species
GGCGAAAGGGGCAGUAAAGCGUGGGGUAACCUACCCUGGGGAUGGGCAUAGCCGUUCUGAGGCGAGCGGGUAAUUCCCAGCGAUCCGGCCGAGGGGACAUCCUUUUGCCGGGAAAUGAGUUUCGCCUCGGGAGGGGCUCACGUGCUAUUAGCUAGUUGGUGAGGUAACGGCUCACCAAGGCGAAGAUGGCUAGCGGGUGCGAGAGCACGACCCGCGCCACUGGCACUGAGACACUGGCCAGACACCUACGGGUGGCUUGCAAAUCGAGGAUCUUCGGCAAUGGGCGCAAGCCUGACCGAGCGACGCCGCGUGUGCGAUGAAGGCCUUCGGGUUGUAAAGCACUGUCGAGGGGGAGGAAGCCGAAAGGUUGACCUAUCCCUGGAGGAAGCACGGGCUAAGUUCGUGCCAGCAGCCGCGGUAAGACGAACCGUGCGAACGUUGUUCGGAAUCACUGGGCUUAAAGGGCGCGUAGGCGGGUCUUCAAGUCCGGGGUGAAAGCCCCACAGAUUAAAUGGGGAAGUGCACUUGGAGACUGGAGAUCUCGAAGGGAGGUAGGGGUCAUGUGGAAAUUACGGGUGGAAGACGGUGAAAUG